AUUGAACGCUGGCGGCAGGCCUAACACAUGCAAGUCGAGCGGAUGAAGGGAGCUUGCUCCUGGAUUCAGCGGCGGACGGGUGAGUAAUGCCUAGGAAUCUGCCUGGUAGUGGGGGAUAACGUCCGGAAACGGGCGCUAAUACCGCAUACGUCCUGAGGGAGAAAGUGGGGGAUCUUCGGACCUCACCCUAUCUGAUGAGCCUAGGUCGGAUUAGCUAGUUGGUGGGGUAAAGGCCUACCAAGGCGACGAUCCGUAACUGGUCUGAGAGGAUGAUCAGUCACACUGGAACUGAGACACGGUCCAGACUCCUACGGGAGGCAGCAGUGGGGAAUAUUGGACAAUGGGCGAAAGCCUGAUCCAGCCAGGCCGCGUGUGUGAAGAAGGUCUUCGGAUUGUAAAGCACUUUAAGUUGGGAGGAAGGGCAGUAAGUUAAUACCUUGCUGUUUUGACGUUACCAACAGAAUAAGCACCGGCUAACUUCGUG
rnacentral:rRNA from 1 species